GUCAGCAGCCAUAUCACCCUGCAACUCACAACUGGUAACUCACUGAAGCUAAGCAGGUGUGAGCCUGGUCAGUACCUGGAUGGGAGACCUCCUGGGAAAAACUAAGGUUUCUGCUGGAA
ensembl:rRNA 5S_rRNA 5S ribosomal RNA